rnacentral:rRNA from 1 species
AUUAAAGGGCCGCGGUAAUUUGACCGUGCAAAGGUAGCAUAAUCACUAGUUUUUUAAUUGAAAACUGGAAUGAACGGCUUGAUGAGAAAUAAACUGUCUUUUCCUGUUAAAAUAGAAAUUAACUUUUAAGUGAAAAGGCUUAAAUUUUAUGGUGGGACGAUAAGACCCUGUAAAACUUAAUACCUUUUUGUAUCAAUUUAGAAUUUUGUUUUAUUUGUACUUUAUAAAAAGGUAUUUUGUUGGGGAGACAUAGAUAUAAACCUUUAACUGUCUAUUUAAAUUUUAUUUUUAUUUUUAUUAAUUGAUCCUUUAAUAGAGAGUACAAGUUUAAGUUACUUCAGGGAUAACAGCGUAAUUUUCUUUGAGAGUUCUUAUCGACAGGAAUAGUUGCGACCUCGAUGUUGAAUUAAGGUUUCAGAAGGAGGCAGCUCUUUUUCUAGUAGGUCUGUUCGACCUUUAAAAUCUUACAUGAUUUGAGUUCA